rnacentral:rRNA from 1 species
UACGUAGGGUGCAAGCGUUAAUCGGAAUUACUGGGCGUAAAGCGUGCGCAGGCGGCUAUGCAAGACAGAUGUGAAAUCCCCGGGCUUAACCUGGGAACUGCAUUUGUGACUGCACAGCUAGAGUACGGCAGAGGGGGAUGGAAUUCCGCGUGUAGCAGUGAAAUGCGUAGAUAUGCGGAGGAGCACCGAUGGCGAAGGCAGUCCCCUGGGCCUGUACUGACGCUCAUGCACGAAAGCGUGGGGAGCAAACAGG